GACGAACGCUGGCGGCGUGCCUAAUACAUGCAAGUCGAACGCAGUGGGGACGGGUGAGUAACACGUGGGUAACCUCCCAUCAGAGGGGAUAAAACUUGGAAACAGGUGCUAAACCGAUCCUGAUGGAUGUACCCGCGGUGCAUUAGCUAGUUGGUGAGGUAACGGCUCACCAAGGCCACGAUGCCUAGCCGGCCUGAGAGGGUGAGCGGCCACACGGGGACUGAGACACGGCCCAGACUCCGACGGGAGGCAGCAGUAGGGAAGCUUCGGCAAUGGACGAAAGUCUGACCGAGCAACGCCGCGUGAGUGAAGAAGGUUUUCGGAUCGUAAAGCUCUGUUGUUAGGGAAGCGUUAUCUAACCAGAAAGCCACGGCUAACUACGUGCCAGCCGCCGCGGUAAUUC
rnacentral:rRNA from 1 species